AUAUGUAAACAACCGGUUUUUCGUUGUAACGGACAAAUGGUGUUCUUAUAAGUUUGAGUUCUCGUUGAAAUUUAACUUGGUUUGAUAAAUGACAUUUUCUCGUGGACGAGACUGGUAUGAAUUUUGUUUCCAUCCAGUUCUAUAAGUAUAACCCGAUACAUGUUAACCAUUUUGUUGUCAUUUGAUUGUAAAGAGUUUAAGAAAACUGUUUUAACAUUGCCUACAUGUAGAUCUCACAAGGUCCCCACAUAUCUGACGUCGUGCCUGAAGAAGACAGCUAGGCUGUCGAAAC